AGAGUUUGAUCCUGGCUCAGAUUGAACGCUGGCGGCGUGCUUUACACAUGCAAGUCGAACGGGGUGGGGGGCAACUCCCAUUCAGUGGCGAACGGGUGAGUAAUGCAUCGGAACGUAUCCCGUAGUGGGGGACAACGCCGCGAAAGCGGCGCUAAUACCGCAUAUGCUCUACGGAGGAAAGUGGGGGACCUGAAAGGGCCUCACGCUAUGGGAGCGGCCGAUGUCCGAUUAGCUAGUUGGUGGGGUAAUGGCCCACCAAGGCGACGAUCGGUAGCUGGUCUGAGAGGAUGAUCAGCCACACUGGGACUGAGGCACGGCCCAGACUCCUACGGGAGGCAGCAGUGGGGAAUUUUGGACAAUGGGGGCAACCCUGAUCCAGCCAUGCCGCGUGCGGGAAGAAGGCCUUCGGGUUGUAAACCGCUUUUAGUCGGGAAGAAAAGGCACGUUCUAAUACGGCGUGUUCUUGACGGUACCGGCGGAAUAAGCACCGGCUAACUACGUGCCAGCAGUCGCGGUAAUACGUAGGGUGCGAGCGUUAAUCGGAAUUACUGGGCGUAAAGCGUGCGCAGGCGGUUCGUUAAGUCUGAUGUGAAAGCCCCGGGCUCAACCUGGGAAUGGCAUUGGAAACUGGCGAGCUGGAGUGCGGCAGAGGGGGGUGGAAUUCCGCGUGUAGCAGUGAAAUGCGUAGAGAUGCGGAGGAACACCGAUGGCGAAGGCAGCCCCCUGGGCCGACACUGACGCUCAGGCACGAAAGCGUGGGGAGCAAACAG
rnacentral:rRNA from 1 species